rnacentral:tRNA from 1 species
GCCUGUCUGGCUCAGGCAGAAGAGCAUAAGACUCUUGAUCUCAGGGUCGUGAGGUCGAGCCCCACAAUGGGCA